ACAUGAAUAUAGCAUAGUGUUAAUGAACUUGAUCCCAUUAGUAACCAACAGUUAAGCAUUCUUAGGCUAGAGUAGUACUAGGAUGGGUGAUCGCCCGGGAAGUCCUAGUGUUUUACAUGCC
rfam:Picea glauca, whole genome shotgun sequence.